UACGAAGGGGGGCUAGCGUUGCUCGGAAUGACUGGGCGUAAAGGGCUCGUAGGUGGCCAACUAAGUCAGACGUGAAAUCCCCUCGGCUUAACCGGGGGAACUGCGUCUGAUACUGGAUGGCUUGAGUUUGGGAGAGGGACGCGGAAUUCCAGGUGUAGCGGUGAAAUGCGUAGAUAUCUGGAGGAACACCGGUGGCGAAGGCGGCGGUCCUGGACCAACACUGACACUGAUGAGCGAAAGCCAGGGGGAGCAAAACGGG
rnacentral:rRNA from 1 species